AUAUAUACCAUAUGUGACACUAUUUAUAUAUAGGUAAAAAGCAUAUAAAUUUACAAAAUUAUAGAAAAAUAGAGAUCGUAAACACCCCAUAUUCCUACUGGUGAUGAAGGAGGGGGGUGAAGUUGGAUUUUCUAUUCCUUUUGCGCUGGGGUUUGGUUUUUCCGGAAGAGUUUGCCCCUAGGGUUUCGGGUUGUGGCGACAGAGGGAGGGCGCCCCUCCGCAGAAUUUUAUAAAACGUCUUCGUGGUUGUUCUUCAUUGCUGUUUCCAUAAUGAUUCUUUUGUUCCGUAGGUGAACCUGCGGAACGAUCAUU
rnacentral:rRNA from 1 species